rnacentral:lncRNA from 1 species
GUGUGGGCAGCUAAAAGUAACAGGCACGUGAGCAUGAUUUAUAAGUAAAAUUAUCAAAAAAACACAUCCUACUGUUCCAUUCCUAUAAGUAUAUGUGGUAUACAGAUAAAUUUCAGUUAACCUGCUGGCUGUCAUCGAGGAUAUUGUAGAGAGUUUGUAUAUAACUAUUGUAAUAAUUUUUAUUUGCACGGUCUGUUAGUACUGUUUAUACUUGGAUAUUCUUGUAGAAAAUAUAUCACAAUGAACUCUACGAGAGGGAACGUGUCUAUAUUUUAUGUGAUAGUAGUACUUGCCGUUUGUGUUGCUCUUGAAGCAUAUGCCCAACCAAUGUCACUCGAUCGACAUGCGCCAGAAUAUACAGAGAAUCUAAAUGAAAUUUACGACUUCUUGAAUUACUACAAAACCUUGUUAGAAACGCGAGAUGCUUACCACAGCAACAAUUUUGAUGGAAACCGUUUAGAUCACAUGGCCUUAAAACGAGGAAGUAACUCAAGACCGGUGGGUACAUUAGGCCUAUUAGAAUUAUUACGACACGAAAUGGAAGAGGUUAAUACCAGAGAUAGAGUUUCAGAUCAAAGAGACGAAAUGGAUAGAGUUGGUCGUUGAAGGAAUUGACAUUCAGUAAAGUGAGCUUGAAGCAGGAAGCAUGGUGCGAACAUUCGAGGUUUGCAACACAAAACAGAGGCUGACUAAUAAACCGUUUCAUAAAAUACAACAAUUUUUAAUAUAUUUAUUUAAAGAGAAAAGAAAUGUAUGAUCUAUUGUAUUUAAGAAUCUUUGUCGCAAUUAUACUUAUUCUCUGUAAUAAAAACGGUGCUUAAUGUUUUGAUAUACAAGACAUGAAAUAUAGGCCAAUUCUGUUCUGUAUGGUAUUAAAUAUUUUCUAUACAUUAGUCCUGUUGUUAUUCAUGAGGUGUAGGCAUCGCUUAAAUCUUAUAAUGUAUUUUCCGAAGACAUCGUUCCAAUUUUGCAAAAGAUGAUGUUCAGAUGAAGUGCAUUUUUUUAAUGCUCAUGUAUGUUUAGAGAUUUUUUUUUCUCUUUAGUGGGGAUUAAACCCACUUUUAUUUCUUUUUUUCUCUUUGAUUUUCAUAAAUCAUGUCAUAAAAUAUCUGUUUUAUAUAUUUACAACAAGCUUAAAAAUGCAAAGGCUCAUAUGUAUAUCAUGUGUAUGCAUAUGCGCCUUUUCAUUUUUAAGCUUAUGUAUGUUUAGAGAUGGCAUGUAUCAUCUUUGCUCCAUCUUCGAUUUUUGUGACUUAUUGACGGGUACGCGCAACUAAGCAUUUAGUAACCACCUUAAAAAUUUGCACAAUAAUUCAAAAUAUUUAUUUACUUAGGAAUAGCAACAAUACUGAAGUUAUAAAAAGUGCUGUAUGAGAAUUAGUGUUGUAUUGUUCGUUUUGCAAGUGAGCUUCUACUUGUAAGUUUGUAAUUAUGCCUAUGUUGGACUUGUGCAAUGGAAAUUUAAAUUAUUAAAGGUAUUUUUGCUUCACAUAUAAACAACGAAUGCUUAGAUACUUGCCAUUUAUUAUCGUUUCCACAUAAUGUGCAAGUGUUAUGGUAUAGCCUGGUAUAGCCAAUUAACACGAACAACAGAAUUUGUAUGAUUAUACUUAGGCAAUUGCACUUCUGGUAACAUUCCAAGAAUAAAGAUGUGCUCAAGAAA